ACAGGCUUGGGGUUUUGGCUUGUACAGCUGUGCAGCUGUUCUUGAUGCAGACUCAGGGCGUUUACUAUUUGCACCCUUGUUCCUUUGUUUUAGUAAGUUUUUAGUGCCACUUGCUGGCUCACUGACGGAAGUGCAUCACACUGGACCUUGUUACGUUUUACAUUACGUGCGAAAUGUCUCAGCUGGUUUGUAAUCAUUAUAUAAUGAAUGUUUAAUAUUAUCUGGCUCGUUAAUUUAGCCAGGUUCUGUUAGGAUUUCAGUAGCUACGUAUAUGUGACAAAAAUGAAGGCUUGUUGUUUACUGUUGUUGUUUACUGUUGUUUUUCUUCCUCUUCAGUAGCUUGCUAGGUUUGUUGGCUAACAAGCUACAUAUAUGUGACAAAUAAAGGCUUGUUGUUGUUUACUGUUGUUGUUCUUCAGUAGCUUGCUAGGUUUGUUGGCUAACAAGCUACAUAUAUGUGACAAAUAAAGGCUUGUUGUUGUUUACUGUUUGCUGUUGUUCUUCAGUAGCUUGCUAGGUUUGUUGGCUAACAAACUACAUAUAUGUGACAAAUAAAGGCUUGUUGUUGUUUACUGUUGUUUGCUGUUGUUCUUCAGUAGCUUGCUAGGUUUGUUGGCUAACAAGCUACAUAUAUGUGACAAAUAAAGGCUUGUUGUUGUUUACUGUGGUUGUUUGCUGUUGUUCUUCAGUAGCUUGCUAGGUUUGUUGGCUAACAAGCUACAUAUAUGUGACAAUUAAAGGCUUGUUGUUGUUUACUGUUGUUGUUUGCUGUUGUUCUUCAGUAGCUUGCUAGGUUUGUUGGCUAACAAGCUACAUAUAUGUGACAAAUAAAGGCUUGUUGUUGUUUACUGUUGUUGUUUGCUGUUGUUCUUCUUCAGUAGCUUGCUAGAUUUGUUGGCUAAAAGCCGUCUCAUGUUAAUUCCUAUAUGUGUCUAGCUAUAUAGUUUGCUGUCUAGCAAAUUUGUCUCUUACACAAAAUCCUGAGCAUGAUUACUGCAUAAAAAGCGUGCAUACAUAAUACUAUAGAUAAUAAUAUUUUAACAUGUCCUAAUGUAUGAGUAGAGUUUUUUUUUCAGUGUGUGUUUCCUCAGUAUAUGACUUUUUUUACUCUUGUGCCUCAGGGUGCAAAUGGUGCCUCAUUUCUGGAUCAAAACAAAUGAACAAAACAAAUAAAACUGUAGGUGCCUGAUCAUUUGGCCCUCUUCUACUGCCUCAGUUCCUUUGACAAAGACAAAAGUUAAUUAUUUAACACAUACAGUCUUUUAAAUGUCAUACAGUCUGCAUUGUUAAUGCAUUAUUCAUUAUAAAAUGCACAAUAAUCGUCCAUUCAUCCGUGCGUCCAUCAGAGAUCCCCGAGAGAAUGUGAUAUUUCAGGAAUAAGCAAGGAAGGAAGGAGUUUAAACCAGGAGACACCCAGGAUCUAGCACUGGACCUCUCUCUCCAUCCCCACUGCUCUAUGCAAAUCCCCCCCCCCCUUUUUUUUUGCAAUGACACUUUAACUCUGGACAUACACUAUUUACACACCACACUUCACCUGGACAUUCUAUGGACACUUUAAACUCUGGACUUGCACAGCACAGUGCCACUUUAUACACUAUUUACACAAUGCACAUUUAUAUAUUUAUGCAUAUGUAUAUACAUUAUUUCUUCAUCUGUAUUUUCAUAUUUUUAUAUAGUUUUCUUAUAUAGUUUUCUUAUAUAGUUUAUACUUUUUAUUAUUUUAUUCUUAUUUUAUUUCUUGCUUUUUUUUUUUAUACUUUUUAUAUAUUUUUUUAUUCUUAUACCGGACAGUUAAAUGCAUAAAGCAUUUCACUGCAUGUCGUACCCUGUACGUAUGUGUAUGUGACAAAUUUGAUUUGAUUUGAUUUGAUUUGAUUUGAGGAUAUCAGGCUGCUUAGGUGAGUCACUUUGCAGUGCAUUACAGAUUAAGGGUUACCUAGUAAUAUAUUUCUCACAGUAUUUGCUGACAUUCCAGUUUAUUUGAAAAUGAACAUUUUCACAGCAAGAUUUGUUCAAGAAUUGAACACUAUACAAAUUUCUUAUAAAAGUGUUAAAGAAAUGAAUGAACGUGAAGCAUGACAACUAAUGACACGUACUGUACGUAGUAAGCAAAAUGUUUAAUGACAGUAAAAAAGUAUCCUAUA